rnacentral:rRNA from 2 species
UAGGACUCUCGGCAAUGGAUAUCUUGGCUCUUGCAUCGAUGAAGAGCGCAGCGAAAUGCGAUACGUGGUGCGAAUUGCAGAAUCCCGUGAACCAUCGAGUUUUUGAACGCAAGUUGCGCCUGAGGCCAACUGGCUGAGGGCACGUCCGCCUGGGCGUCAUGC